UUGAGGAUGAGAGGGUGAGAGCUUCUAAGGGUGAGAAAGCUCUUCCCAUGGCCUAAGAAUUAGCCUCUUUUAAUGAGGAGAGUGAGGGGUCAUUUUAUAGAAUAAGAGCUCCUCACUUAUUACAUAUUUGCCCCUUUAUUUAUUACAUAAUUACAUUUGAGUCCCCCGAGUAUUUAUACGAGAUCUAAAUACGGAGGCCCUAAGUAUGGUACAAACAUGCUCAUAUGCCAAGUGUAAUGUCUUAUCAACCUUUCAUUUUCAAUUGCUCAUAUGCUUUGUAAUUGCCAUGUGUCAUAGUCACAGUGACUAAUGUAUUUGAAGGUCAUGAUGACUAAUGUAAGAGGAUGAAUGGGGCAUGAAUGAAGUGUGCGCAUUAUGCAACAGUUAGAAUGUUGCAGCUGUGAUUAUUCCUUUGUCAACUAUCUCUCUCUCUCUCUCUUUUAGCUUUCUUCUUUGUUUUGCCCCUAAACUCCAAAACCAUUGCUGAAAUGCUUUGAGCUAUUCAAAUUUUAACAUGGUAUUGAGAGCUCAGGUUCUAUAUGGGAUCGAGGCGUCAAAUUUGUGAUCGUUGUGCUUGAAAUCCAACUUGAACCUUUCAACUCAACUCUUCCAACUCAGUUCUCAAAUGAUUGGAUUGAGUGUAGUGAUCUCAAGGCUCCAAUAUUCAACGGUGACAACUAUGAAUUUUGGAAGAUUCGUAUGAGAACCAUCUUUAAAUCUCAUGGGAUCUGGGAUUUAGUGGAAAAAGCACUUGAAAUUUCAAAAUCGAAGGGCAAGAAGGUAAAAGCCAAAGGUUAUACUGCUGUGGAGAAAUCUUCUCUUAGUGAUAAGCAAAUGAAUUAUGAAAAUUCUUUGGGUAUUAUCUAUGGAGUUAUUACAAAAGACAUUUUCCUAGAAUCUCGAAUGAGGAGGCCUCAAAGGGUGCUUGGGAUAUUUUACAUAAAGAAUUUCAUGGCGAUAAACAAGUAAGAUCCAUUUAGCUGCAACGUGUAUAUCGUGAUUUUGAGUUCACAAGGAUGAAGGAUGAUGAAACUUUGUCUGUGAUAGGAGCAUAUUUAUGCGACUUAGUUAGCUUGUUUUCUUGCAUUUUCAUAGCUAGUUUCUACUUAUUAUAAUGUUUUAAGUUAUUUUCGUGUGUUUGUAGGUCCAAAUGACAAAGUUGGCAAGAAAGUACAUUUUGAAGCAUUUUAGAGCAGUUUUGGGCAUCAAAUGGAUAGCUUAUGAGUGGAGCAAGAUGGAUGGACGAAUUUGAAGACCAAAGAUAUCAAGGAAUGUACUAAAGAGUUAAAGAAAUAAAUCCAAGACAAAGAUGAUAAGGAAUCAGCUUAAAAGAAUGAACAUUAUCCAAAACCUUAUCCAACCUUAUCUUAUCUUAUCCAUUCCUAAUCUAGCCUUAUCUUAUCUUAUCUUAUUCAAAUCAGUUUGUGCCUUAAUUCUAGCCAUUUAUAAGGGAUAAUUAUGCAUUUAAAAUACAUAUUUCAAAUUCUAGAACCUGUAUCCCUUAUGUGCCGCAUAUAUGCCCUCUCCUUGGUGAUUUAGGAAUUGUAAUCCUUCUCUGAACCCAUGUCAUGUAUCCUUGUCCCUUUAGGUUCAGAAAUUUGUGCUGAAGCAUCUUUCUAGAAGCUUUAAAACCUACCGCACCUUUCUAGCCUAAUUCCCCUUGGUUUCUGAUUGUUUUAACCCAUUCCACUUGGGUUUUGGUUACACAAUCUUAUUCCUACUCAGCCUUAUGCCGUGCCUAGCCUAUAAAUACAUCAUUCUGCCGCACAAAUCAGACCACCACCCUCUACCAUAUAACUAUACACCACGCACCCAUAUAUUUAGAUAUAAUUGAGAGAGUUCAAAGGUGUGCUUGCAAGGAAGGAAGGAAGGAGCUUUGUGCCGUGGCUUGCAAUCCAAGGAGGGUUCGCAAUUUUCCAUUGGAGUUGCUGGGACGUUCCUGGUUCUUUCUAUCCUUAGAUUUGUUUCAAUGUUUGUUUUAAUUUGGUUUUAUGUUUUCAAAGACAUGAGGAACUAAUUUCUUUUUAGUUGGAGGUGAAUUCGAAGCCAUGAUUAUAUGCUUUAUAUGAAUUGAUUACAUUCAGUUAUUGUUUCUUGAGUCUUGAAUGUGAUUUGCUUAUCUGAGUUAUUAAAACUUGUUUAUGUAUGUUGAUUGAGGAUGCAUACUGAGUUUGCAUGCAUGAACUUGAUGCUAGAGUAUAAGGGAGUUUCACGUAAUUGUUAUGAACUUAUAUUCACAAGUAGUAAAAGUCACUAGUCAUGAUUGUGUUAAGUAAAUCCUAAGCAGGAGUAUCAUGCUUUUCAUAGUUAUGAAUGCAUCGUCAAUGCUUAUGGUUUUCAAAGAACUUAAUGACCUUUGAUAUGUCUUUCUAUCAUACUUUUCAUAGUUAGGGAAUUUGAUAAGGAUAAUUUGGUUGUGAUGCGUAUUCCAUCUAAUUCAAGGAAUUAAGGAAAAUCUAAUGGUUAAUUUAUGCUAUCACGGUU
rnacentral:lncRNA from 1 species